AUUCUGAAACGGAAUCUAAUUAGAAUCGUAUACAAAUUCCGUUUAAAACGCAACAACCGGUUCCGUGUUCGAACCGGUUGUUGCGUUUGAAACGGAAUUUGUAUACGAUUCUAAUUAGAUUCCGUUUCAGAAUUCGGAUUGAUUUGACUGGGCAAAUGCUCGUUUGGAUACGUCAAACUCGCGUCUGUUUGGGUACGUCAAAUUCACUUCGUCCAGUCUCCCUAUUUAGGAUCUCUAGUUUCAUUAAGAUUGAUGCAGGGAAUCAUGAGAAAUAAGCGAUUUUGUUCUUCAAUCUAGCUGAAAGGAAUACAUUUUUUGGCAAGUAACCUCAUUUUGGCGCCACCUACAUUUGAAACACAGUCGCGCUGCAAAAC